GAAUCAUCCGCAAUGGACGAAAGUCUGCUGGAGCAACGCCGCGUGAGUGAUGAAGGUUUUCCGAUCGUAAAGAUCCGUUGCCAGGGAAGGACGCAUGGGAGAGAAACGGCUACCCAGGUGACGGUACCUGAGGAGAAAGGCGCGGCUAACUCAGUGCCAGCAGCCGCGGUAAUACGUAGGGGGCAAGAGAUGGCCGGCUUUAUGGGGUGUAAGGCGCGCGGAGGCGGUUCAUUAAUUCUGGUGUUUAAGGCUAGGGCUAACCCCUGGUUCGCACUGGAAACUGUUGUACUUGAGUGCAGAAGAGGUAAGUGGAAUUCCGCGUGUAGCGGUGAAAUGCGUAGAGAUGUGGAGGACCACCAGUGGCGAAGGAGACUUUCUGGGCUGUAACUGACGCUGAGGCGCGAAAGCGUGGGGACCAAACA
rnacentral:rRNA from 1 species